rfam:Ovis aries breed Texel chromosome 8, whole genome shotgun sequence.
CCUGGUGGCUCAGAGGGUAAAGCGUCUGCCUACAAUGCAGGAGACCCAGGUUCAAUCCCUGGGUCAGGA